GACGAACGCUGGCGGCGUGCUUAACACAUGCAAGUCGAACGGAAAGGCCCUGCUUUUGUGGUGUGCUCGAGUGGCGAACGGGUGAGUAACACGUGAGUAACCUGCCCUUGACUUUGGGAUAACUUCAGGAAACUGGGGCUAAUACCGGAUAGGAGCUCCUGCUGCAUGGUGGGGGUUGGAAAGUUUCGGCGGUUGGGGAUGGACUCGCGGCUUAUCAGCUUGUUGGUGGGGUAGUGGCUUACCAAGGCUUUGACGGGUAGCCGGCCUGAGAGGGUGACCGGCCACAUUGGGACUGAGAUACGGCCCAGACUCCUACGGGAGGCAGAAGUGGGGAAUAUUGCACAAUGGGCGGAAGCCUGAUGCAGCAACGCCGCGUGCGGGAUGACGGCCUUCGGGUUGUAAACCGCUUUCGCCUGUGACGAAGCGUGAGUGACGGUAAUGGGUAAAGAAGCACCGGCUAACUACGUG
rnacentral:rRNA from 1 species